UUUAGGAUUAUUUGGUCCGUUUGAUAUAUCCUUUAUUUUGUAUUUUUAAUUUCAAUUAGGCUGAUUCUACAAAUUUGUUAGCCAAUGACUAUAACCAUAAAUUUGGAAGAAAAAUAUCUACCUAAAGCGAGGAGACGCUUGCGUUGAUACUCGAUAAACUGAAAAGAGUAAGCCAGUAACAUGGACUACAAAUUAUCAAUAAAAAUAAGACAAAAGUAACGAGUCGAGAGAACCAAAAACAAAAAAA
rnacentral:lncRNA from 1 species